GGAGAGUUAGAAGCAAGCCACGUGGGUGACUUCUUUUCAAAGUUCUCUGCCUCAGAGGAGGAAGCCCCAUGGGUGGAGGCCAGGCCCGAGGCCAUCCUGCUCUGGGCCAGAGCGUGCCUGUGUCUGAUGAGCGAGGACAUGCCUCGUCUGGCUGAGCCUUCCAUUUCACACCGGCAGCUCGAACCCCCCAUCACGGCUUCCUUUUGGGCUCCCCUCCUCAGGGGACCGAGCUUGAAAUGUGCUUGCCCUUCAUCCCUAAGGCCUGCGUCCCUUCCUCAGAGAGGACUAAGCCCCUCUCCCAGUCUUGAUGUUCUCCGAGGCCCUUCUUAUUCACAGAACCUAUCUGGCUUAUUUAUUCGCUUGCUUGCUUCUGAUGUCUUCUCUUACUGAAAGGAAUCGAAGGGCCAAGGAAUGUGUUUUUCGUUGAUGUCAACUUGCUGCAAAGGACCACACCUGCUUCUCGACCCAGGAACGUGGGAAAGGGAAAGGCUUGGCUUGUUUUGGUGGAGAUGGAGAUGCUGGUAACAGUGGAGGAAUGCCCUCCUUCUGAUUCACAGUGGGGAGGUGCUCUGGGCCCCUGCCACUGCCCGAGGACUUCAGGUAAGUCAGCCCGUGGCCCCCAGCCCUUCCCUGCCAGACGCCCUGGCAGACGGCUUGUUCUGACAAGUAUGCGCUUUCUGGAUGGAACAGCCUCCCUUUUGUCCAAACCCUUCCUUUGAAUUUAAAAUGCACAAAGAACCUUUCGAAGAGGAAAAGAAUGGGAUCAGGAAGAGGAGGCUGUAUCUCAUUUGGACACUCAAGCCCUCAGCUCCUGCCCAAGAGUUUCUGGAAUUUGCUCCCACAUCACGUCAUGACUUUUGGCUCCCAGCCAGGUGCGGUGGCAUCUGUGGCUUCAUCCUUCUGGGAAGUCAGGGUCAUGUUCCCUUGAGUCUUCUCCCUUUCCUCUCCCCAGCUUUUGGUUGUCCUGCUGAGAGGAUGCGGCAUUUGAGCAGUAGCUUCUGGAGCCCAGAGUGAAGCCCCACCCAGGCACCCUGACAGGACCACAGGAAUGCUCCUGGCACAGCAAGCAGGACUCUUGAGAAGCUCAGCCUCCACGCUCCUUGUAGAUGUUCAGUUCAAACUCCACAGUUUGUGUGACUCACUGAAGGGCUUGGUUUGGCUCUCGCUGACGAGUCUGUCAUCGGUGCCAGGUGACACGCUUUUCCCCUCCUCCCGUCUAGUCCUCUCUCUUGCCCCAGGGCUUCUGGUGGGGAAGUUUAACCUCCUCUUCAUAAGCAGUGGGAGGGCUACUGUGCUGCCCUCUGGCCCAAGCUCUGGUAUUCCCUUUGCAGUGGUGGGUGCUCUCAUUCCUUUGCAAUGUGCCCUGCAGUGUGAACCCAGGGGAUCCAUGAGACAGGGAACUCACGUCUGUUUUCUUCAUUUGGUGUAGCAUGCCAUUGGGCGUUUGCCAGACAGGGCCUAUCAUGUGGGCCCUACACCUAUUCACACACCUGCCAUUUGCCUUCAGAAUCCUGUUCCCAGUGGGUAAUGGGUUUAAAAGCCCAUAGCUGAGUUUAUCCACAUUGGAUCCGACCCACAUUCCAAUGCUCUUGUAAGUCUCCAGUUGGUCAAAUGAGCAGUUUGAUCCCUUGAUCCUUCAAAAUACUGGAUAUAUUUAUUUCUUCUUGCCUUUUGAUCUUUCAAGCUUGAAAUUUCUCCGCACAUAAAAGUCUUCAAAAUGCCCUCAAA
ensembl:lncRNA LINC01348 long intergenic non-protein coding RNA 1348